rnacentral:lncRNA from 1 species
CUGGCUCCAGACUUACUAUUGGAGAUGAGCUUCAGAGAGGAAUCCGGACACCUGGGCAUUAGUCUCCGCUGUCACCACGAGCUGUGUGACCUUGGACAAGUCACUUCAAGUCUCUGGAGUUGGUUUUCUUACUGGAGGCUACUUCUGUAUUCUCAAAGCCACCUAUGGCUUUGCAAUUUACUAGCUCUUUUUAGUUCCACUUAGCCUUUCCCGCGACACUCCACACCCGAGCGAGACCCGUCUUUUGUUCUGGGGGUGAAGGGGAGAAGGAGAGCUUCGCAAGGACCAGGCUGAGGAGGCCUUGGUACCAGCAGCUGUUCACUGGAGACUCGGGUCCCGGGAUGUCACCGGGCAACCCCACCGUGACCUUGUUCCCUCCCUGGCCCUUUUCUGGCCCGGCCUGAGUGAAGCGUCUGGGAGACGGUGGCGGGCACUGGGGCGGCGCAGAGCAGCGCCUGGAUAGCGGCCCGGACCUGGGGUGGCAGUCUGGCGGGGGUCCCUUUGGCACAGGCGUGCGCACAGCAACCUGCCUCUACCCGAGGCCACUCUGCCUCUGGAUUGGCCUGAGAGGACGCCACGGAUCACCCUUUCCCCCUCGGACACCGAUCGCGACACGCGCGCAGAGCCGCUACCUGCAGAUGGCCGUGCCCUGGACGGGUCUGGACUCGAGGUCGCCUCAUUCUAUAGUGUGGUAGAAGGGACGAUCAAUGCGGUAGACGAACAUGGGGCGAUGGAUCCUGUAUGUCUUCCUCUCUUCUCUUCAGCAUCACACUGUGCUCCACUGUCCCCAAGGACUGGUACCACUGGAUUCUCCUGUGCUCUCCUGACUCUGCCUUUACUGGAGCCAUUCCUCGGAAAAAUUCUGCACCAGAAGGACCACAGCUUAGAGAUAUUCUGUUACAGCAGCACAAAAUGGACUAAUACAACCUUAUGGUGGCAACUCCAUUAACAAACUCCCUUUCCUGCUCCUCCUGUUCCCCAGGCAGGCAAGGACCAUGUCUUCUUUUGCUUUAAACAGAAAGAAAAACAUUUUAUUCAAGGUAUGGUUAAUUUGCUUUUAAUGAUAAAGUAAUAUAUGUUUCUUGUCUUCCUGCAGAGAGAAUUUGGAAAGUACUGAAAUUACAAAGAAGCCCAAUUAUGUAUCAUCCCAUAAUUAUCCCACAUACACAGAUAAACAUAGAUAGUUGGUUUUCUGUUGUUUUAGUGCUUUUGUUUUUGUUUGUGGUGCUGGACUUUGAACCUGGGGUCUCGCACCUGCUAAGUAGGUGCCUUAUCACUAAACUACACCCUCAGUCCCAUUGAUGGUUUUUAAACGUGUUUCUCUGAAGAACACACACCAUCUAUAUACUAUAUCCAUACACACAUGAUCUGCUCUCUUCACUUCACAUGCCAGCAUGAGCAGACUCCAGUGAUGGGAAUGGGGACACCCAGAAAUCCAACUUUUGGAGAAGUUCUCUCCUCAUUUGAUGGUUCAACCUGGGAGUGACAUUACACCUGAGGGCACCUUGGUUUCAAAAAUCCAGUGCUUAUUUGGAGUGAGACUAAGGGCUAGGUCCCACUAGCAAAUGAAAAGUCUGAAUUAUAAAAUAAAAUGACGUCUUACCAGGGGUCA